GGAGCCGAGGGGAGGGGCGGACGCAGGGCCGCGGCCGGCCGCCGGAGCCCCGGGGUCACCGCCGACGCAUGCGCCGGGGCGCGCAAUCACGGCCCGGGCUGGCGGCCGGCGGCGUGAGGAAGGGAAGCGACCCGCGGAGGCGCGAGGCCGCCGAGGCAGAGCCCGGCCGUCACCACAGCCGCCGCCGCCACAGGCGCCGCCGCGUGCGCGCUCCCGAGCUGCUGAGAUGCAGGAGCUGGUCCUGUCCCACUGUAAGAUGCCUUUGGACAGUUCUACAGUCCCCUUAGGUGAAGCUUUGGAACUGGGCGAGUUUCACUAGAUCUCCACAGUCCUCACUUGGAGCGCAGAGUGUAGCAUACAUAUUAUCGAGUGCAUAAACCCUGAACAUCAUUUUGAUGAAUUUUUAUGAAGCCAACAGCUGUCUACUCAGGACAAGGAGUGCACGUUUUCAUCAGCCCAGGAAACUCCUUCGUUACCUAGAGUUAACUGCACACUCCCAAAGAAUCCUGAUUCUGUCAGUCAUACAGAAGAAUACCCUGAACCUUUAGUUUUCUGAAGAAUCAAUUCAAGAGAUCCAGAAAGGAUAAAAGGCAUGUCAGAAAACAGCGAUAGAAGCUUUAGAGCCUCCUGUUCUCAUAAUACUGAAUUUUAAAUUUUAAAUUAAAGUGAUAAUAGUUAAAUAGAAUUUC